UGAGAGGAAGAAGAGUGGUUGAAAUGUGACGCACUCGAAAUGCGGCAUACCCGCAAGGGUAUCGUGGGUUCAAAUCCCACCCUCUCCGCCA
rnacentral:tRNA from 1 species